AGGAUCCCCGCGGGCCGACCGGGGCAGCCCGGGAGCCGAGGUGCGGCGGAGAGCCCGCGGAUCAAAGGAAUCUGGAGAGAAAGGGGAAGCGGGCGGCCGGCCCCGGCCGGCCUUCCCCCCCGCAGGCCACGCCGACCUGGGGUGGGGGGCUGCGGGCCGCGGGCGGGGACUCCGGGAUUUCCCGCCUGCCUGAGUCGGGGCCUACGCCGGCGCCCGCUUCGGGCGGCUCGGCCCGGAGGGGAGCUCCGGAGAGCUGGCCUUCCCCAGAGAUUCCUGCUCCCAGCCCAGGCCCAGACGGCAACAGAAGCUCAUGGAAUGGCAGACUCUGGACAUGCUCCUAGAGAUGGGAGGUCAAAAUGAUCAACGUUCAGGGUCCCUUCAUCUCAGAGGGUCUCGAGUCACCUCAUUUAAAGUGUGGCCUGGGACACCUCCUAUCCAGCCAUACGCCGCCCAGGACUGGCUCAACAGCUCCACCCUCCACUGCUGUUCACCCAUGACACGUCACUUCCCACCCGCCACUGCUGGCUCACCUGUGACACCCCAGGCAGCUCAGAUGCCCGGCAGGUCCUGCUGGUGUGUGUUAGCCGGGGUCUCCAAAGAACCAGAGCCAGCAGGGGACACACCCAUCUCUGUAUCUGGAGAAAAAGAUCGAUGAGAAGGAAUCUGCUCCUGUGAUGAUGGAGGCUGACAAGUCCCGAGAGCCACGGUUGGCACCCUGGAGACCCCUGAGGGUGAUACCACCACUCCAGGCUGAAAGCUGGCAGGCUUGAGACCCUGGGAGAGCUGGCCCUCUGACUCCUGGGACUUCUUAUUCUAUCCUAGUAUUUCCUCAGCUGAGUGCAUGGGGCCAGACCACACUGGGGAGGGCAGUCAGCGUCACUCAGAGCACCGGGUCAUCUCAUGCAGAAACACCCUCAAAGAAAUAGCCCAAAUUAUGCUGACCAAAUAUCUGGGCACCCCGUGCCCCAGACAAGUUGACACAGAAAAUUAACCAUCACAGGUUAACUCCAUCCAGGAGUGGAAUUGCUGGGUCAUAGAGAAGGCAUAGGAAUUCACAGAAAUCACCAAACGGUUUUCAGGCGGUUGUGCCAUGUUAAACUCCCACUGGAAAGAGAGGAGAGCUGUGAUUGUUCCACGUCCUCAGCAACGUUUAGAAUAGGCAGUCUUUGGCCGGGCCGGGCACAGAGGCUCAAACCUGUAACCCCAGCACUUUGGGAGGCCAUAGUGGGUGGAUUACCUGAGAUCAAGAGUUCAAGACCAGCCUGGCCAACAUGGUUAAACCCCGUCUCUAUUAAAAAUGCAAAAAUUAGCCAGGCGUGGUGGUGCGUGCCUGUAAUUCCAGCUACUUGGGGGCUGAGGCAGGAGAAUCGUUUGAACCCAGGAGGCAGAGUUUGCAGCGAGCCGAGAUCGCGCCACUGCACUCCAGCCUGGGCAACAGAAUGAGACUCUGUCUCCAAAAAAAGAAAAAAUAAAUAAAGAAAAGUCAUUCUGUAGUUUUAGCCUUUGUGAAGGCAUGAAGUGGCAUCUCAUUAUGGUUUAAAUGCUUAUUUCGCUGGUGACUAAUGAGGCUGACCAGUUUUUCACUGCAUUUAGCCCUUUCAAUGCACUUCAGGUCUGUGAAGUACUUGUUCAAGUGUAUUGCCCAUUUUAAAAAUUGGUUUGUUUAUCUUUUUCUUAUCAAUUUGUAGGAGUUCUUGAUAUAUUCUGGGCAGAAGGCCUUGGUGUAGAAUCUAUUAAGACACACCGAGGCGAACGGUACAUUUGUCUGCAACUUACCUUUUGACUCUCUUGAUGGUGUCUCAAAGUUGUUGAUUUUAAGGAAGCCCAGUCUUUUAUGUCGAGUCCCUUUGUGUUCUAUGUUAGAAAUCUUUGCUGACCACAGUGUCUUCUUCUUUUUCUUUUGAGACGGAGUCUCGCUUUGUCGCCCAGGCUGGAGUGCAGUGGCGCCAUUUCAGCUCACUGCAACCUCCGCCUCCCAGGUUCAGGUGAUUCUCCUGCCUCAGCCUCCCGAGUAGCUGGGAUUACAGGCAUGCGCCACCAUACCCAGCUAAUUUUUAUAUUUUUAGUAGAGACAGGGUUUCACCAUGUUGGCCAGGCUGGUCUCAAACUCCUGACCUCAGGUGAUCCGCCCACCUCGGCCUCCCAAAGUGCUGGGAUGACAGGUGUGAGCCACUGUGCCUGGCCUGACCACAGUGUCUUGAAGAGAUUUUGCUAUGUUUUAUUCUAGAAGCUUUGGGGCUUAUUUUUCACACUUUGUUCUAUGACUUAUUUCAUUUAUUAGUAUUAUUUUUUGAGACAGAGUCUCCCUCUGUCACCCAGGCUGGAGUGCGGUGGUGCAAUUUCAGCUCACUGCACCCUCUGCCUCCUGGGUUCAAACAAUUCUUGUGCUUCAGCCUCCCGAGUAGCUGGGAUUACAGGAGUGUGCCACCACGCCCGGCUAAGUUAUGUAUUUUUAGUAGAGACAGGGUGUCACCAUGUUGGCCAGGCUGGUCUUGAACUCCUGGCCUGAAGUGAUCCGCCCGCCUCAGCCUCCCAAAGUGCUGGGAUUACAGGUGUGAGCCA
rnacentral:lncRNA from 1 species